GUCUUUUUGUCUUUUUGUCUUGUCUAGGGCCACUCCUGCAGCAUAUGGAGGUUCCCAGGCUAGGGGUCUAAUCAGAGCUAUAGCCACCAGCCUACACCAGAGCCACAGCAACACUAGAUUUGAGCCACGUCUGCAACCUACACCACAGCUCACGGCAACGCCAGAUCCUUAACCCACUGAGCAAGGCCAGGGAUCAAACCUGCACCCUCAUGGUUCCUAGUCAGAUUUGUUAACCACUGAGCCGCAACGGGAACUCCUACAACGUCAUUCUUAAAACAUGAUGCACCUUCCAUCUUUCCUGACAUCUUAUCUCUGUGGAAGGGUGCUACCUCUUAGAAAAAUAAAGGCAACACAUUUAUUGCCCACUAUGUAAAGAUUUCAUAUGAAAUUUUUCUUAAGCCGAUUUCAUUUUUGGCUUCCCCACAGCAUAUAGAGUUCCUAGGCCGGGGAUCAGAUCUGAACCACAGUUAUGACCCAAGCCGCAGCUACAGCAACACUGGAUCCUUAACCACUGAGCUGGGCCGGGGAUCAAACCUGCAACCCAGCUCUUCCAAGACACUGACAAUCCCAUUGCACCACAGUGGGAACCCGUAAUUUUUUUUUUAUUUUAUGGCUACACCUGUAACAUGUGGAGGUUCCUGGGUCAGGGAUUGAAUCCUAGGUGCAGUUCUGACCUAUGCCACAGUUGUGGCAACACCAGAUCCUUUAACCAGGCCAGGGAAUGAACCUGUGCCUCCCCAGUGACCUGAACCACUGCAGUCAGAUUCUUAACCCACUGUGGCACAACAGGAACUCCUCUUAAGCUGACUUUAAUAUGUCAAAGCUUUCUGAGCUAACCCAACCGUAACACUGAUAUUCCUGGAACAUUACCAUAUUUUUAGCCAUCCUUGUGAACAGCAUGGCCUUUUCCUGCAUGCCCUUGGCUUAGAUGUACCCCAGACUUAUACUUGUUUGGAACAGUUUCAUUGAAGCAUGAUUUGCAUCCCACAUAAUUCAUUCAUAUUAAGGUACAGAUCAAUGGGUUUUAAACUUAAGUGUGAAGCCAUCACUACAAUCCAGUUUUAGAAUACUUCUUUCACUCCAGAAAGUUCUCUCAUGUGGGAAGUCUUCAUUUCAUCCCACACCAGGCAGCCACUAAUCUGCUUUCCACCUCUGCAGCUUUGGCUUCUGUAAGAAUUUUCAUGGAACUGGGAUCACAAUAUAAAGUCUUACGCACCUGACUUCUUUCACUGAACAUAAUGUAUUUAGGUCCAUCCAUGUGGUAGCCUGAUCAGGAAUUUUUCCCUUCUUCCGGCUGAAGGGUUUUCCACCUGUGUAUGUCCUGCAGUUUCUUCAUCCGUUUGUCAGUUGGUGGGUGUUUGUACCUCUCUCAGUUUGGGGCUUUUAUGAAUAAUGCUUAUCUGAAUGUCCAUGCAUAAAUCCUCAUGUAGUCAACCGUUCACACUUCCCUUGAGUAGACACCUAGGAGUGGAAUUGUUUAGUCACACAAUAAAUGUACGUUUAAAUUUUAAAGGGAGUUCCCUGGUGGCUCAGCUGGUUAAAGAUCCAAUGUUGUCACUGCUGUGGUUUGGGCCACUGCCGUGGUGCAGGUUCAAAUCCUAGGCCCAGGAACUUCCACAUGUUGUGUGGGCAUGGAAGGGAAGGAAGGGAGGGAGGGAGGAAAGAACGAAGGAAGGAAGGGAGGAAGGAGCCAAACAAUUUCAUUUAUUUAUUUAUUUAUUAUGGCCACACCCAAGGUAUAUGGAAGUUCCUGGGCUAAGGGUCGAAUUGGAGCUGCAGCUGCUAGCCUAUGCCACAGCCACAGCAACCCCACAACCACAGCCACUGUAAUGUCCAAUCACCAUAUCAACCUACACCACAGAUUGCAGCAAUGCUGCAUCCUUAACCCACCGAGCGAGGUCAGGAUUGAACCCACAUCUUCAUGGACACUAUGUCAGGUUCUUAACCUGCUAAGCCACAAUGGGAACUACAAAACUGCCAAACAAUUUCAGGACAUCUUUUUGAGGCUGGAAAGGAAUGCAGAAGAGGCAGAGUCAUCCUUGGCAGAGUGCUAUCAUCCUAGAGUCAGUGCCCUUUCCUCUCCCCUACAUCUCUUUGCCCUGUUCUGUAUUAGGCUAUUCGGCAUCUGUCUCUCUCUUCUUUUGUCUGUCAGUCUGUAGAUCAUUGUUUCUCAAAAAUCCAUGUUAUUCAGAAUGAAAUUGUUUUGUGUUCAUCUGAGUCUGGUUUUUUGUUUUUGUUUUUUGUUUUUUGUUUUCAUUUUUUUCCCCAACAAGCAAUAGGUCUUUUGUCAAAUGACAUACAUAGGAAGUGAUCUUGUGUGGUCUUUGUUUCUUUAUGAUUAUAAAAAAAGGUCAUUUCCUGACAUCAUUUUUUUCAGUCAGUGUGAGGGAUUCUGUCUGGUCUGUGGUGGCCCCAUAGCUUGUGGGCUGUGAGGAAAGUCUGGUCAUUGUCCAGACACCUGUGGUGAAGUGGUUCUGGGUUAAGCCCAGCCCCUGCUCUUGGUAUGACUAAAUGUUUUCUGGGGUUGUCCCCUCCCCACCGCUAGCCUUUCGGUCCUGACGUGUUGUACCUAGACACCUAGCAGAAGACUGUUUUCUAUAAAUGUCCAGUGAAGAGUCUCGAGAUUCCCCAGCAUACCACAGCUCUGCUUCUACCCUAGGGACUUUCCAUACCUGAGGCAGCAUCCCAGGAGCCCCAACCAGCAGCACUGUCUCCCCAAGUGAAACAGGAGAGGCUAGGGGUCAAAAUGCUGGGGAUGCAACCACUGUGGAAAACAGCAUGGAGAUUCCUCAGAAAACUAAAUAUAGAACUACCAUAUGAUCCAGCAAUCCCACUCCUGGGCAUAUACCAGACAAAAGUGUAAUUCAAAAAGAUACAUGCGAGUUCCCGUCAUGGCUCAGUGGAAACAAAUCUGACUAGAAUCCAUGAGGAUGCAGGUUCAAUCCUUGGCCUCUCGCAGUGGGUUAAGGAUCUGUAACUGUGGUGUAGUCCAGCAGCUACAGCUCCAUUUUGACCCCUAGACUGGAAACCUCCUUAUGUUGUGGGUACAACACUAAAAAAAAAAAAAAAAAAAAAAAAAAAAAAAAAAAAA
rnacentral:lncRNA from 1 species